AUUGAACGCUGGCGGCAUGCUUUACACAUGCAAGUCGAACGGUAACAGGCCGCAAGGUGCUGACGAGUGGCGAACGGGUGAGUAAUGCAUCGGAACGUGCCCAGUCGUGGGGGAUAACUGCUCGAAAGAGCAGCUAAUACCGCGUACGAUCUAUGGAUGAAAGCGGGGGACCGUAAGGCCUCGCGCGAUUGGAGCGGCCGAUGUCAGAUUAGGUAGGUGGUGGGGUAAAGGCUCACCAAGCCAACGAUCUGUAGCUGGUCUGAGAGGACGACCAGCCACACUGGGACUGAGACACGGCCCAGACUCCUACGGGAGGCAGCAGUGGGGAAUUUUGGACAAUGGGGGCAACCCUGAUCCAGCAGUGCCGCGUGCAGGAAGAAGGCCUUCGGGUUGUAAACUGCUUUUGUACGGAACGAAACGGUCUGGGUUAAUACCCUGGGCUAAUGACGGUACCGUAAGAAUAAGCACCGGCUAACUACGUGCCAGCCGCCGCGGUAACAC
rnacentral:rRNA from 1 species